ensembl:lncRNA
CCCCUUCCCCAUCCAAUCCCGUCCAGCCCUUGCUUUCACUGCCCACUGCUCCCCACCCUCCUGCCAUUGCCUGUGCUCAGUUCACAAACUCCAUUCUCACCUGGGUGACACAGCGGCCUCAUGAGAGGUCUCUCUGUCUCUUUGCUCACCGCCCUCCUCUCCAACUGGCUUCUCCAGGAAGCAGCCAGAGAAGCCUGUCCCAAUGACAAAUCUGACCCUCCUCUGCUUGAAUCCUCUCGGUGGCUCCCCUCUGCUCUCAGGAGUCUGGCCAAGUCCUACCUGCCCCUCGAGAUUCUGUUGGAACGUCUCUCCGAGAAGCCCCCUUCUGGCUCCCUGCUUUGUCAACUGUGAACCACACGUUCACUGCAUUGCCCUGCAAUGAUGGGUUCACAGACGAGUCUCGCGAAUCUGUGGAUUCCCCAAGGAAGCACUCAAGACAUAAAGAGGUAUGAAGAACAACAGAGUGGAUACCCAUGGACACAACCCAGUUGGUACAGCUGAAAAUAAAAUGGGCACAAGGGCCUUCCCUUAAAGAAGGGCUGGAACCAUUUCCAGCCCCUCUAGUUGCAGUCUUGUGUUUCCAAGGAACUGAAAAAUUGAUUUCAAACCUUGCGCCCAGGGCAGAGCCUGGUAUCUCCACAUCCAGACACAAAGUUCUCAUGCCACCCUCUUCUAAGGAGAAGGCAUCUCCCUCCUGCCUUGGGCCUUGGCAGGCUCUGCCACACCCCCUUCGAGGACAGACUUGGAGACUCUCUGAAAGGAAGGAAGAGGGGAAGGAAUUCAGGUUCCCCAUCAGCGUAGGCGUGCCCCCUGAUCAUCCUGACCAUGGGCUCCAUGAGAUUUUGGGUGAGGGGCGCAGGAUGGAAAACACCCAUGGGGGAAGUGCCUUAGGAAAGAAAUGAGCAAAUGAAGCGAACAAAGAUGGGAGGAUUCAGAAACCACCUGGACCUGCUUUCAUUCAUGCCAAGGCCUCUGGAGGGGGAUUCGUCAGGAAUUGCCUGUCAGAAGUCACUUCAGUUAUGCCGUCAUGUCCCUUCUAGGUCAGGACAGCAAGCCAGAGGUUGCGGUUUGAACAUGAAUAGGCAAGAUUCCUACUGAGGGAUUUGAGGGACUCAAGUAAGUGGAUGACUUACUGAAGAAAAUAAACAUUCAUGCUACAGUAAGACAGGAGCUAUCAUAAAGGGGAACAUAUAGGAUGUAAGGGAAGCCUCUGAAUCACACUUGGGCGCUGAGGAAGGCUUCCUGGAGGAGGUGAUGUUUGUCCUGCAGUGUGGCAAGUCACAUGCUAGGCAUGAUGAGUUCAUAAUGCUCGCUGGGAGCUACAAGUGGGCCCACCCUCCCGGAGCGAAAGGUGGGAGUGGGCGGUGGUGGGGGAGGUGGCCAGGGUGAUAUCACAAAGACCUGUGCGCUAAGCCAAGGAGUGGGAACCUUCUGCAAGCUAGCGGCAGCCACCAGAGGACUCAAGGCAGACCUGAGGCAGGGAAGAGUCCUGGAGAGAAGUGGAGAGCCCUGUGGAGCUGCGGGAUGGGGACUGGGAGGCAUAAGAACAAUGAGGAGGGCAUCACAGGACCGAGGUGAGAAGCCACGAGGAUCUGAAGUAAGAAGGUGAGGAGGUCUGCACCCCGUGGACACAGUGAUGGUGCCUCUCAGGGCUUGGGUUUGGCUGACUGCUAGUUGGCAGAGCUACUCACUGACACAAGAAUUCAGGGGAGAAGCAGACCUGGGCUUGGCCUUUGGAUGCUGGGGCAGCAGGUGAGUCACAAAUAUUAUAGAAGGCAUCAGACCCCCAGAGAGGCUACAAGCCUGAAAGCCACUAGAAGCAGACGGAAGGCCAGAGAAGGGUGAAGACUUGAGUGCAGGUAACAGGGCCUCUGAACGCACACCUGCUUUUCUGAGGAGACACCCUGCACAGGCUUCCCUGAGUCUCCAAGGCUGCAGCCUAGUUAUUCAUUUUAGCUCCAACAUUGUAAAGCCCAGGAUGGAACUGACAUCACCCCUGGACACACCUGUGGGCCUCAGUGAAGCAGCUCAAUCUCUAUUUAAUUUGGUUCUAUUUUAAAAUUCUGUAGUUUUUAAAAAUAUAUAUAUACAUGGUUUAAAAAUCAGUUAUGUAUCAAAAAUAUCACUGCUUACCCUGCUUUCCUGGUCCUCUGAGUCAACUAUUUUCAGCCAUUAGCAGAUGAUUUUUUUUGUUUGGUAUUUACCUUCCUAGCUCUAAACAACAUGGGUGUAUAGAUACUUGCUGGUUUUGUCCACAUUAGGCAUUAUCCAUUGACUUUCCAAUACAGUGCACAGGGAUUCAGCUCUGCUCACUCCACCCUCACCUCCACCACAUACGUGUGCCCACUUCCCGUUCCUCCAUCCUCCCAAUACAGUUGUCAUAUUUGGUUAUAUCAAUUUUCAGUCUUUACAUAUUAUGGUUGUGUUCAUGCUGUUCACAACUGAGUCACUUCAAGUAACCAUGAUUUUAUUCCCCUUUCCUCCAUAGCUUUUUAUAUUCCACCAGAGUUCAAAAUUGUGGCACUUAAUUUGUGCUUAUCACUACUCCAAUCCCCCAGUUCUCUCCCAAUUAUGUAAACCAUUCCCAGUAUUUUCAGACACAGUCUUAUCAAUGUCAUCUUUUGGACCAAUCUUUCCUGGAGUCUUUGAUCAGCUUCCAUCAGAACAGGCCGUUUC